rnacentral:rRNA from 1 species
UACGGAGGGUGCAAGCGUUAUCCGGAUUCACUGGGUUUAAAGGGUGCGUAGGAGGGCAGGUAAGUCAGUGGUGAAAUCUCCGAGCUUAACUUGGAAACUGCCGUUGAUACUAUCUGUCUUGAAUACCGUGGAGGUGAGCGGAAUAUGUCAUGUAGCGGUGAAAUGCUUAGAUAUGACAUAGAACACCAAUUGCGAAGGCAGCUCACUACACGAGCAUUGACUCUGAGGCAUGAAAGCGUGGGGAUCAAACAGG